UUCCCCAACAAUAAUAAUCACCACAAGAACAAGAAACUCAUCAGCACAAAAGAGAAGACCAAAAUAGGUAAGUCUCAAAACUCAAUAGCAAUGCUAGGGAAAAAUCUAUAUAAAACCCGAUAAACCACAAUCUGGAUCUUAACAAAAAUGUCUCUUAUGGAGAAUUUUUUCCCGUCAAAGUAUAUCUCAUUCCGACACUUCCAAAGCAUGUAUACUGUGGUGACAAAAGCAAGUUUGAAGGCAUUAGCCUUCACUCUAGUCCCCCGCUGCUCAUGGUGCAAAAUCCUCACUGAACGUGGCAGAGUAGACAUCUCCCUCGUAAUGCCAAGCUACUGCCUCACUCUCAUCCAGACCCCUGAGGAUACCGUGCAUGAGAAAAAGAGGUGAUUUACAGACUCUGUGGUAACUUGGCAUAGUUUGCAGCGUCGAUCAAUCUCCAGGAAAUCAAGUCUGUCCAUGGUCGGUAGUCUAUUACAAAAAGCAAGCCAUGCAAUAAAGGUAAACUUCGGCGGGAUGUAAUACUUCCAAAUCAGCUGCAUCCAUGGGAGCUUCCCCCCCUUGAUUCGGAGUAGAUCGUAGACUUUCCCAGAGCAAAGCUUUCCAUUCACCAUAAACCCUUGGAGGACUUCAAUAACACGAACCACACUUCCGCACUUGUCAAUCAAACAAUCCCGAAUUUGGGCCAGCUUCUUCAGAAGUUGAGAAUCUCUUUUAUGAGGCUGAUAGU
rnacentral:lncRNA from 1 species